rnacentral:lncRNA from 1 species
GCUUGAUGAACAUCUGGAUGUCUGUGCUACAAGAAUUUAGAACCUAUUAAAAUUUGUUAGCAGACAUCUACAAGUAUACAUUUGACAAGCGUGGAUCUUAGGAUAUUGGUCUUAGAACAAUUGAUAUUCUAGGUGUCAACAUGUCAUGUGUGUGCAUUGAACUUUUCUUUUCUUUUUUAUUUCCCAGCAUUUUACAAACCAGAACAAUAGUCAGGAGAGGUGAGACUUGUCUUAUCUUAACCAAACUUAUGUAAGUACCAAACCACUCUUCAAUAUUCCUUAAACACGGAAAGAACUUAGAUUAAAAGAAGAAAUCAGCAUUGAUACCAAGGACUGCUACCUUCUUCGAAAUCCAUGAAAAACAAGAUAGAAAGGCAGGCAUAUGAUGCCAACUUUGAAUUGGAAAAAGAUGCACUGCCAAUUACAUUCUGGACAGAAUGUCAUAGAUGAUGUUUUCCAAUCUUGAACCCAUCCAUGGUUUCCUGCAAAUCAUUUUGUUUUAUGGAAGAUGAUUGACUCCUCAAGGAUAAGAGUGAACAGCAACGUUAUGCUGCUUCUCUUCUGAACAUGGAAGAUGUGUACAUACUGGGUCCCAUUAAUUCUGUAACAAUAUGUAUAUUUUUUCUGUGACAUAAUAAGAUGCACCACUCAUCCUAACUUAGUUACCUACAUGCCAUAGAGCUACCGCCCCAGUUGCAUAGCAAAUCUCAAGUUGGCUGGGCAAGGCAUUCUAUUUGCAAGAAGUCUCUUUCCUUUUGGAACAAUUUUCAAAAACAGGAAUCCCUUUUUCAAGGACAGGUAGGUUUAGCAAGACUUGUCCAACUCACAUGGACAAGAGAAAUGAGAAGCAACUCAUAGGCCUUUUAGCCAUUUCAUAAUUUUAGCUUCAACUUGACCUCCCAAUAAGUGAUGUAAUAGGACCUAACGCAUCAAUAGUACUACUAAUUUUGUUUCCUGAGCAAAAGAGUACUGCUAAAUUCUUUGCUGCAUUUGCUCAAACUAUCAUUUUUUGGGCUUUAGAAAUUAACCCAAAUCUUUUCUACUUGCUAUAUAUGAGACACAAGACGUGAUCGGGAAAGCUUAUUUUUUAAUGAAAAUGUAUACGGAUACACAUAUUAAAUGGAUUCCAAAAUUAGCAUCCAUAUUUGUUCUAAAUAGAUACGGAUACAAUUUAGAGUUAAGUGCAUCUGUAGUUAUUUUGAACGGAAAUGGAUAUAUGCCGGAUAUUAUUCGUAUCCAUCUUUUGAUAUCUAAAUAUAAAUGUAAGUCAAAUACUAUUUGGCUGUAAGUCAAAUACAAUAUGGUUGUAAGUCAAAUACUACUUGGCUGUAAGUCAAAUUUGUAGCAGAAUUCAGUAAUUAAAAGUAAUAUUAGUUUGUAUAAUCAUAAAGGACAGGACUAGAAUUUACCAUGUAGAUUGCAAUGAUACAUAAGUAAACGAGGAUUUAAGGCAUGGUUAUCUAUAAACCUGCAUGGAGACCAGCCUUGCUAAGGGUCUGGAUCAUGAAUUAUCUAUUUUUAAAGAGCUUGUAACAAAAAUUAUAUAUAGAUAUAGAAAAUAUAUAAAAGUUAUUAAUAUUGACAUUUUAGACAAUAAACCUUUGAAAAUAUCAUAAAAAAUAAAAUAUAUUUAUUUUUCAUUUUUUUAUCUUAGAGAAAAAUAUUUUUAUAAAAAAUAGAGAAUAUACAUCAAACGAUACUUAAGGAUAGAUAAAAUAAACUACUUAUAUAAAGCAAUAAUCAUGUUGUAGACAAGUGGUUGAAGGCUUGCCAUUCAAACCAGAGCAUGUUGGCUGAAUCUUUGGUUAUACAAUUUAUUUUAUUAUAUUUUUUUACCAAAUAUUUGGAUCUAGAUUGGAAAAA